rnacentral:rRNA from 1 species
UGGAAGUAAAAAAUCGUAACAAGGUCUCCGUUGGUGAACCAGCGGAGGGAUCAUUGCUGGAACGCGCCCCAGGCGCACCCAGAAACCCUUUGUGAACUUAUACCUUACUGUUGCCUCGGCGCUAGCUGGUCCUUCGGGGCCCCUCACCCUCGGGUGUUGAGACAGCCCGCCGGCGGCCAACCUAACUCUUGUUUUUACACUGAAACUCUGAGAAUAAAACAUAAAUGAAUCAAAACUUUCAACAACGGAUCUCUUGGUUCUGGCAUCGAUGAAGAACGCAGCGAAAUGCGAUAAGUAAUGUGAAUUGCAGAAUUCAGUGAAUCAUCGAAUCUUUGAACGCACAUUGCGCCCUCUGGUAUUCCGGAGGGCAUGCCUGUUCGAGCGUCAUUUCAACCCUCAAGCCUGGCUUGGUGAUGGGGCACUGCCUGUAAAAGGGCAGGCCCUGAAAUUCAGUGGCGAGCUCGCCAGGACCCCGAGCGCAGUAGUUAAACCCUCGCUCUGGAAGGCCCUGGCUGUGCCCUGCCGUUAAACCCCCAACUUCUGAAAAUUUGACCUCGGAUCAGGUAGGAAUACCCGCUGAACUUAAGCAUAUCAAA